ACUGGAAUGAAGAAGUCGUGCUGUGUUUCUCGGUGUUUCUUUCAGUUAAAGCAAGAUUUGCUUAGAAAGGCGAAAACGUUCAUGAAUAAUUUUACGACAAGAAGCUGCAAAAUGAUACUACGACACACUUUGACGUGAGUAUUUGAAAUUCCAGUGAACCAGUUAGUUCACCAGCAAUAGUUUCUAGUUCUGGCAAAAAGCCAGAAAACAAUGUAAGAAGAAACAUCAUCAGCAAUUUAUCAUUUCAGGAUACCACAACAGAUCUGUGCAUCACACAGGGUAAUCAAGAGUUUGCAGUUAGCCUACUCAGUACUCUUCUUUCUAAAGACGAAAUGAAAUCCUUGAAGAUGUCUUGGGGCUGUUGUCACCCCUUUGUCCAACACCCAACAGCGUCCUGAAAGGACUGCUACUUUGCAUCACCACAAUUGAAAACAUUCCAGCCACAGAGUUCCAGCACAGCAUAUUCUUUGCAGAUGUGAGCUAACUACAUUUGAUAUAAAUUCACAGACUGUACAGAUUGUAGAUAAUGUAGAAGAACUGGAAAAGAAAUUGGUGGCUCUAGUACUGCUACUCAUUCACCUUAGAGGACUUAGGGAUUAAUAAUUCUGUAAUUUUUCCACAAUUAGGUUAUCAUUUGCUAAAUUGAUUUUAAAGUAGUUUUGAAAAAAAAAAAUUUCCUUCCGUUCCGUCCAGUCUUUCGGGUGCCUAAGGAAUAUGUUGGAUAUCACUAGGCGGCUAAAAUUAUGUCUGCUAGAUGGCGCGAGUGUCUUCGUUACUCAAGACAUGCCUGGACCACUCUCAAGACGAAAUUCCGCCAUUUCUUAAAACACUGAUUGGAAACCAUGUUGAAAACGUAUCGUUGGAUUGGAAUUGGAUAAUACGGCGUACUUUUCUGUUUUGAAAUUUUUAUUCGUAAAAAUGGUAUUUAUCUGGUAACAGCCUAUAAUUUCUACAUGGCAAUUUCUUCUGAUCAUGUGGCCUGAGCAGCACUUUUUGUCAAAAUGUCCUCUUUUUCCGGUACCAGCUCCACGUUUGCCAGAAACACUUCAGAACAACUCGGGAAUAACAUGCUGGUGGAGUUGAGCUUUCCGUUGCUGCCCAAUGGAUUUGAAGCAGCCAUCUCAUAAAGGGUGUUCCUCUUGCUACCUGUACUGUUGUGUGUUUCAUCACAUGAAGAGAAACACUUAGCUACAAUUGAAGUUUAGCGUUUAUGUUCGCGUAGUUGCUGUCCGAUGUGGC